UACGUAGGCAGCAAGCGUUGUUCGGAGUUACUGGGCGUAAAGAGCGUGUAGGCGGCCCGUCAAGUCUGGUGUGAAAUCUCCCGGCUCAACCGGGAGGGGGCGCCAGGGACUGGGGGGCUUGGAGCGCGGGAGAGGAAAGCGGAAUUCCGGGUGUAGCGGUGAAAUGCGUAGAGAUCCGGAGGAACACCGGUGGUGCAGACGGCUUUCUGGACCGCGGCUGACGCUGAGACGCGAAAGCGUGGGGAGCAAACAGG
rnacentral:rRNA from 1 species